rnacentral:rRNA from 1 species
UGGGGAAUAUUGGGCAAUGGACGCAAGUCUGACCCAGCGACGCCGCGUGCGGGAUGAAGGCCUUCGGGUUGUAAACCGCUUUCAGCAGGGAAGAAGCGAAAGUGACGGUACCUUCAAGAGAAGCACCGGCUAACUAUGUGCCAGCAGCCGCGGUAAUACAUAGGGUGCAAGCGUUGUCCGGAAUUAUUGGGCGUAAAGAGCUCGUAGGUGGUUCGUCACGUCGGAUGUGAAAACUCGGGGCUCAACCCCGAGCCUGUAUUCGAUACGGUCUGACUUGAGUGUGGUAGGGGUAACUGGAAUUCCUGGUGUAGCGGUGAAAUGCGCAGAUAUGCACAAGAACACCGGUGGCGAAGGCGAUCUUCUGGAGCGGUACUGACGCUAAGGCACGAAAGCGUGGGGAGCAAACAGG